rnacentral:sRNA from 1 species
UCCUAAACCUGACAACAGCAAAAAUCCUUUUUGUUUGCACUUACAGUAAAAGAUUGCCGCGUCGUUCCUCCUCGCAAUGACGAUAACGAAAGCAGAACUCUCAAAAAGAUUGAAGCGAAUGGCAGGACUGCUG